rnacentral:rRNA from 1 species
UACGUAGGUGGCUAGCGUUGUCCGGAUUUACUGGGCGUAAAGAGCGCGCAGGCGGUCGUUCAAGUCGAGUGUGAAAGCCCCCGGCUCAACUGGGGAGGGUCACUCGAUACUGAUCGACUCGAAGGCAGGAGAGGGAAGCGGAAUUCCCGGUGUAGUGGUGAAAUGCGUAGAUAUCGGGAGGAACACCGAUGGCGAAGGCAGGUCUCUGGGCAUUAACUGACGCUGAGGAGCGAAAGCAUGGGGAGCGAACAGG